rnacentral:rRNA from 1 species
GGCCAACUACGUGCCAGCAGCCGCGGUAAUACGUAGGGUGCGAGCGUUGUCCGGAAUUACUGGGCGUAAAGAGCUUGUAGGCGGUUUGUCGCGUCGUCCGUGAAAACUUGGGGCUCAACCCCAAGCUUGCGGGCGAUACGGGCAGACUUGAGUACUGCAGGGGAGACUGGAAUUCCUGGUGUAGCGGUGAAAUGCGCAGAUAUCAGGAGGAACACCGGUGGCGAAGGCGGGUCUCUGGGCAGUAACUGACGCUGAGAAGCGAAAGCGUGGGUAGCGAACAGGAUUAGAUACCCUGGUAGUCCACGCCGUAAACGGUGGGCGCUAGGUGUGGGUUUCCUUCCACGGGAUCCGUGCCGUAGCUAACGCAUUAAGCGCCCCGCCUGG